UCAUGACCUGAGCCGAAGGCAGCGGCUUAACCCACUGAGCCACCCAGGCGCCCCAGUUUUUUCUCUUUUUGAAUGAUUUUCCUGGAUUAAUUAUCUUGAGUGAGAUUACUGAAUCAAGGGAAGGUAGAGGUAGCUAACAUACUUUUAAAAAGUUUCUAUCAGGUGCCUGUCCAUACUUGCCUACAUUAGAAAUUAUUCUUUUUCCUUCAAUUCUGCCACUUCCCUUAAGUUAUCACUUCUAUCCUCACCUACGCACACUUUAAACUAACAGCAAAUGCAGUCACUUGUAAUGUUUGAUUGUGAUUUCUGUCUCUUACGGGAUAGACAAACCAACUUCCAUACAGAAGUCUGGAGGCAAAACAGCCAGCGGGAAGAAUUUGGAAGAGAAACCAGGCAUGGUGGAUUCAAAGAUAGCACAAAAGGACAUCAUACCACCGGGAGAAUAAGGAGAAACCAAGUCUGACUCUAAAUAAAAAUGAAGCUUUCCAGAAAACCACUUUCAUGUUUCUUGACUUAGGACAAACCUUUGAGAACAUCAUAGAGACCACUGAGCAAUUAUGUGAAAUGCUGGGAUGAAGAAGUGACAUUGGCUUUUGAAUUUGAGGCUUAUCAAACAAAACUGCCUUAUUAAUCGUCUCUGCAACUUUUCCAGGUUGCCAUCUUCACAAGCGGGAAGACUUCUAACGGGCAGCAGCUGGGCCUUAUUCUUCACAUCUGUGCACCAUCCCCUUCCUGCCUGAACCCCUGUGCAACUAAAUUAUGAAUUAUGCUUCUCAAUCUAGGGAUAAUUUAUUAUAUAGUAUGUCACUAAGGAAUAAGUACCUUAAAAUAUUUUUUCAACAAAAAAUUGACUACCUGGACUUAUAUAAAAUAUAAAAUAAACACUAUAACUAUGCCACAUAACAUGACGUACAAAAUAUACUCUAAAUUUUCUCACAAGAAAAUAUAUCUCAAGGGUGACAAUUUGCCUACAUUGCUUACUAAAGCAAGCAAAUUCUAUCUUCUCUCUUUUAAAACAUGUAUGUAUGUAUGAAUUUAUUUGUAUUGAGGUAAAAUUGACAUAAAACAUUCCAUUAGUUCCAGGUGUAUAACAUAAUGAUUCAGUAUCUGUAUACAUUGUGAAAUGAGCACGACAAUAAGUCUAAUGAACAUCCCUCACCACAGUUACAGAAUUUUGUGUGUGUGUGAUGAGGACUUUGGAGAUUUAGUCCCUUAGAAACUUUGAAAUAUGUAGUACAGUGUUAACUACAGUCACCAUGCUGUACAUUACGUGCCAUGGCUUAUUUAUUUUAUAACUGGAAGUUUGUACAUUUUGACCCCCUGCAGCCAUGUC